rnacentral:sRNA from 2 species
AGAACCUAAUCGCUUAAUUUCUAAACGAAAUCGGGGGACCCAAUCUUUUGUGGUGAAAACCACUAGGGGUGAGUCCAUUUGAAAAAUGGUAGGGCUACUCUCAUAGCCCGAAUCCGACAGCUAACCCCGAAAGCGUUGUGAGGGAAAAU